rnacentral:rRNA from 1 species
GACGAACGCUGGCGGCGUGCUUAACACAUGCAAGUCGAACGGUGAUGGGUGCUUGCACCUUGAUCAGUGGCGAACGGGUGAGUAACACGUGAGCAACCUGCCCCCGACUCUGGGAUAACCCCGGGAAACCGGAGCUAAUACUGGAUAUGAGACGUACAGGCAUCUGUCGCGUCUGGAAAGAAUUUCGGUUGGGGAUGGGCUCGCGGCCUAUCAGCUUGUUGGUGGGGUAAUGGCCUACCAAGGCGACGACGGGUAGCCGGCCUGAGAGGGCGACCGGCCACACUGGGACUGAGACACGGCCCAGACUCCUACGGGAGGCAGCAGUGGGGAAUAUUGCACAAUGGGCGCAAGCCUGAUGCAGCGACGCCGCGUGAGGGAUGACGGCCUUCGGGUUGUAAACCUCUUUCAGCAGGGAAGAAGCGCAAGUGACGGUACCCGCAGAAGAAGCGCCGGCUAACUACGUGCCAGCAGCCGCAGUAC